GCCUGGCUGGCUCAGCUGGUAGAGCGUGUGACUCUUCAUCUCAGGGCUGUGAGUUCAAGCCCCAUGUUGGGCA
rnacentral:tRNA from 1 species